rnacentral:misc_RNA from 1 species
GAUGAAGGACGUAGCGAAAUGCGAUACUUGGUGUGAAUUGCAGAAUCCCGUGAACCAUCGAGUCUUUGAACGCAAGUUGCGCCCGAAGCCAUUAGGCCGAGGGCACGCCUGCCUGGGCGUCACACGUCGUUGCCCCCCCAUCUACUCCUUCGGGAUUGCGGGGGGCGGAUGAUGGCCUCCCGUGCGCCUCGCCGCGCGGUUGGCAUAAAUGCCAAGUCCUCGGCGACGCACGCCACGACAAUCGGUGGUUGCGAAACCUCGGUUGCCCGUCGUGUGCGGUCGUCGCGCAUCGAGGGCUCGAAAAAAUUGCCGGGUUCCGGCUCGGCUUUCAACGCGACCCCAGGUCAGGCGGGGUUACCCGCUGAAUUUAAGCAUAUCAAUAAGCGGAGGA